rnacentral:rRNA from 1 species
GGUUAAGCGACUAAGCGUACACGGUGGAUGCCCUGGCAGUCAGAGGCGAUGAAGGACGUGCUAAUCUGCGAAAAGCGCCGGCGAGGUGAUAUGAACCUUUGACCCGGCGAUGUCCGAAUGGGGAAACCCAGUGCAAUCCGUUGCACUAUCGUUAACUGAAUACAUAGGUUAACGAGGCGAACCGGGGGAACUGAAACAUCUAAGUACCCCGAGGAAAAGAAAUCAACCGAGAUUCCCCCAGUAGCGGCGAGCGAACGGGGAGCAGCCCGGAGUCUGAAUCAGCUUGUGUGUUAGUGGAACGGUCUGGAAAGUCCGACGGUACAGGGUGAUAGUCCCGUACACGAAAGCACACUUGCUGUGAACUCGAAGAGUAGGGCGGGACACGUGGUAUCCUGUCUGAAUAUGGGGGGACCAUCCUCCAAGGCUAAAUACUCCUGACUGACCGAUAGUGAACCAGUACCGUGAGGGAAAGGCGAAAAGAACCCCGGCGAGGGGAGUGAAAAAGAACCUGAAACCGUGUACGUACAAGCAGUGGGAGCCUCUUUAUGGGGUGACUGCGUACCUUUUGUAUAAUGGGUCAGCGACUUAUAUUCUGUAGCAAGGUUAACCGUAUAGGGGAGCCGAAGGGAAACCGAGUCUUAACUGGGCGUUAAGUUGCAGGGUAUAGACCCGAAACCCGGUGAUCUAGCCAUGGGCAGGUUGAAGGUUGGGUAACACUAACUGGAGGACCGAACCGACUAAUGUUGAAAAAUUAGCGGAUGACCUGUGGCUGGGGGUGAAAGGCCAAUCAAACCGGGAGAUAGCUGGUUCUCCCCGAAAGCUAUUUAGGUAGCGCCUCGUGAACUCAUCUUCGGGGGUAGAGCACUGUUUCGGCUAGGGGGCCAUCCCGGCUUACCAACCCGAUGCAAACUACGAAUACCGAAGAAUGUUAUCACGGGAGACACACGGCGGGUGCUAACGUCCGUCGUGAAGAGGGAAACAACCCAGACCGCCAGCUAAGGUCCCAAAGUCAUGGUUAAGUGGGAAACGAUGUGGGAAGGCACAGACAGCCAGGAUGUUGGCUUAGAAGCAGCCAUCAUUUAAAGAAAGCGUAAUAGCUCACUGGUCGAGUCGGCCUGCGCGGAAGAUGUAACGGGGCUAAACCAUGCACCGAAGCUGCGGCAGCGACACUAUGUGUUGUUGGGUAGGGGAGCGUUCUGUAAGCCGUUGAAGGUGUGUGGGGUGCUGGAGGUAUCAGAAGUGCGAAUGCUGACAUAAGUAACGAUAAAGCGGGUGAAAAGCCCGCUCGCCGGAAGACCAAGGGUUCCUGUCCAACGUUAAUCGGGGCAGGGUGAGUCGACCCCUAAGGCGAGGCCGAAAGGCGUAGUCGAUGGGAAACAGGUUAAUAUUCCUGUACUUGGUGUUACUGCGAAGGGGGGACGGAGAAGGCUAUGUCAGCCGGGCGACGGUUGUCCCGGUUUAAGCAUGUAGGCGGAGGUUCCAGGUAAAUCCGGUACCUUAUUAACGCUGAGGUGUGAUGACGAGGCACUACGGUGCUGAAGUGAUAAAUGCCCUGCUUCCAGGAAAAGCCUCUAAGCAUCAGGUAACACGAAAUCGUACCCCAAACCGACACAGGUGGUCAGGUAGAGAAUACCAAGGCGCUUGAGAGAACUCGGGUGAAGGAACUAGGCAAAAUGGUGCCGUAACUUCGGGAGAAGGCACGCUGAUGUGUAGGUGAAGCCCCUGCGGGCGGAGCUGAAAUCAGUCGAAGAUACCAGCUGGCUGCAACUGUUUAUUAAAAACACAGCACUGUGCAAACACGAAAGUGGGACGUAUACGGUGUGACGCCUGCCCGGUGCCGGAAGGUUAAUUGAUGGGGUUAGCGGCAACGCGAAGCUCUUGAUCGAAGCCCCGGUAAACGGCGGCCGUAACUAUAACGGUCCUAAGGUAGCGAAAUUCCUUGUCGGGUAAGUUCCGACCUGCACGAAUGGCGUAAUGAUGGCCAGGCUGUCUCCACCCGAGACUCAGUGAAAUUGAACUCGCUGUGAAGAUGCAGUGUACCCGCGGCAAGACGGAAAGACCCCGUGAACCUUUACUAUAGCUUGACACUGAACACUGGUCCUUGAUGUGUAGGAUAGGUGGGAGGCUUUGAAGCGUGGACGCCAGUCUGCGUGGAGCCAACCUUGAAAUACCACCCUUUAAUGGCUGGUGUUCUAACGUAGACCCGUAAUCCGGGUUGCGGACAGUGUCUGGUGGGUAGUUUGACUGGGGCGGUCUCCUCCCAAAGAGUAACGGAGGAGCACGAAGGUUGGCUAAUCCUGGUCGGACAUCAGGAGGUUAGUGCAAUGGCAUAAGCCAGCUUGACUGCGAGCGUGACGGCGCGAGCAGGUGCGAAAGCAGGUCAUAGUGAUCCGGUGGUUCUGAAUGGAAGGGCCAUCGCUCAACGGAUAAAAGGUACUCCGGGGAUAACAGGCUGAUACCGCCCAAGAGUUCAUAUCGACGGCGGUGUUUGGCACCUCGAUGUCGGCUCAUCACAUCCUGGGGCUGAAGUAGGUCCCAAGGGUAUGGCUGUUCGCCAUUUAAAGUGGUACGCGAGCUGGGUUUAGAACGUCGUGAGACAGUUCGGUCCCUAUCUGCCGUGGGCGCUGGAGAAUUGAGGGGGGCUGCUCCUAGUACGAGAGGACCGGAGUGGACGCAUCACUGGUGUUCGGGUUGUCAUGCCAAUGGCACUGCCCGGUAGCUAAAUGCGGAAGAGAUAAGUGCUGAAAGCAUCUAAGCACGAAACUUGCCCCGAGAUGAGUUCUCCCUGAGACUUUAAGUCUCCUGAAGGAACGUUGAAGACGACGACGUUGAUAGGUCGGGUGUGUAAGCGCAGCGAUGCGUUGAGCUAACCGAUACUAAUGAACCGUGAGGCUUAACCUU